rnacentral:rRNA from 1 species
UACGUAGGCAGCAAGCGUUGUUCGGAGUUACUGGGCGUAAAGCGUGCGUAGGUGGUGAGUUAAGUCUGAUGUGAAAUCCCCGGGCUCAACCUGGGAAUGGCAUUGGAUACUGGCUCGCUAGAGUGCGGUAGAGGGUGGUGGAAUUCCCGGUGUAGCAGUGAAAUGCGUAGAGAUCGGGAGGAACAUCUGUGGCGAAGGCGGCCACCUGGACCAACACUGACACUGAGGCACGAAAGCGUGGGGAGCAAACAGG